rnacentral:rRNA from 1 species
AUGUUUGUGCUGGAACGUCGGUUGCAUCUCGAGGAGGAGAUCCGGGCAAGGCGCGUUGCUCGUGUCACUGUCGGCCUUCCUUCGGAUUCGUCAAAGGCAGAGCAGGAGGCUGCAUUGAGAGGCGGAGCAGGACCCCAAGGCCAUGGAGGGAAAAAUCCAAAGGAGGACGAUGCGGCGGCGCCGAAGAAAGAGGCAGAGCCGGCUACGGGCUUCGCCAUGGAGGACACCAUUACGAAGUUCGAGGUCACCCAAGCGAAGGAGAUGGUAGAGAAGACCGCCAUCCUCGAGCCCAUCCAGGAUGAAGUAUAUGUGGAGACCAACCGACGUUUCAUCCGACAACAGAGGGUGGAGAUCAACGAGCUCUUCACCUCUAGUUCGUCCAACGACGAGCCGGAAUUGCCGCAAUUGCCCAUCUACCCGAAGCCGGGCACGGAGAUCGUGGACAUCUCUGACGAUGACUAG